rnacentral:lncRNA from 1 species
CCAACCUUCCUUUUGUGGUCAUAAACCUUGUGUUAAAAUUUCAUAGAUUUCCAUUCACUUUUACUAAAGUUAGAGUGCGAAAACUAAAAGUAUUCGGACGACGACGACGACUACGACGACGACGACGCAGACGACGACGCCAACGUGAUAGCAAUAUACGACGAAAAAUUUUUCAAAUUUUGCGGUCGUAUAAAAAUGCUUAUUGUGGCCUCUUAUUCCUUAGGGGUUUAGACCAUAAACCCCAAAUUAAUCCCAACCUUCCUUUGGUCCGUGGUUAUAAACUUUUUUUUGAUAAUUUAUUGUUUUCUAUUUAUUUUAUGAAGUUAUUAUCCGGAUACCAUCUGUCUUCGGGCGACGCUGACGACGACAACAAAAACAUGAUACCAAUAUACGACCAAACAUUUU